CCUGAUGCUGGGAGAAAUGUUCAGACCCCAGAAGAGAACAUUGUGGUUCAGAACAGAGCUAGUCAAAUCAAGGCUUUCAAGAAAGGAAAAAACCCACAAUGUCAUAGGACGAAAGACAGUCAAUAGUGAACCAUCCAAGUCAAUGUUUCAUGGACAACCAUAA
rnacentral:lncRNA from 1 species